AACGCACCUUGCGCUCCUUGGUAUUCCGAGGAGCACGCCUGUUCGAGUGUCGUGAAUACCUCAAGCCGGAUGCUUUAUUGCAAUCUUGGCUUGGAUUUGGGCUUUGCCGUGGCUUCUUUUAGUACGGCUGGCCUUAAAUGUAUUAGCUGGUCCAUGUUAUAUGUUUGGUUCGACUCGGCGUGAUAAGUUUACGAUCGCUGAGGACAUUUGCUUUCGGGCGGAUGGCCAGAUGUGUCUUGGAUUGCUUCUAAUCGUCUCUUUGAGACAGCUUUUUCAAGUUUGACCUCGAAUCAGGUGGGACUACCCGCUGAACUUAA
rnacentral:misc_RNA from 1 species